GAGACGUUAGUAAAACAAUAACAUAGCCUUGUCAAGGCUAAAUUACUGGUGGAAACCCAGUACAUCUCA
rnacentral:tRNA from 1 species